AUUGAACGCUGGCGGCAGGCCUAACACAUGCAAGUCGAACGAGUGGAGGACGGGUGAGUAAUGUCUGGGAAACUGCCCGAUGGAGGGGGAUAACUACUGGAAACGGUAGCUAAUACCGCAAAGCGCCGGAUGUGGCCAGCUGGGAUUAGCUAGUAGGUGGGGUAACGGCGCCCCAAGGCGACGAUCCCUAGCGGGGCUGAGAGGAUGACCAGGCACACGGGGACUGAGACACGGUCCAGACUCCUACGGGAGGAAGCAGGGGGGAAUAUUGCACAAUUGGCGCAAGCCUGAUGCAGCCAUGCCGCGUGUAUGAAGGAGGCCUUCGGGUUGUAAAGUACUUUCAGCGAGGAGGCGUUACUCGCAGAAGAAGCACCGGCUAACUCCGUGCCAGCAGCCGCGGUAAUUC
rnacentral:rRNA from 1 species